rnacentral:tRNA from 1 species
UGUCCCCAUCGUCUAGCCAGGCCUAGGACAUCGCCCUUUCAAGGCGGUAACAGGGGUUCAAAUCCCCUUGGGGACGUAUA